rnacentral:rRNA from 1 species
UCGAGAAUUUUUCUCAAUGGGGGAAACCCUGAAGGAGCGACGCCGCGUGGAGGAUGAAGGUCUUCGGGUUGUAAACUCCUGUCAUUUGGGAACAAGUCGUACGUAGUAACUAUACGUGCGUUGAUAGUACCAGAAGAGGAAGAGACGGCUAACUCUGUGCCAGCAGCCGCGGUAAUACAGAGGUCUCAAGCGUUGUUCGGAUUCAUUGGGCGUAAAGGGUGCGUAGGUGGCGUCGUAAGUCGGGUGUGAAAUUUCGGAGCUUAACUCCGAAACUGCAUUCGAUACUGCGGUGCUUGAGGACUGGAGAGGAGACUGGAAUUUACGGUGUAGCAGUGAAAUGCGUAGAGAUCGUAAGGAAGACCAGUGGCGAAGGCGGGUCUCUGGACAGUUCCUGACACUGAGGCACGAAGGCCAGGGGAGCAAACG